UGGCGGACGGGUGAGUAACGCGUGGGCAACCUGGCCUGUACAGGGGGAUAACACUUAGAAAUAGGUGCUAAUACCGCAUAACGGGGGAAGCCGCAUGGCUUUUCCCUGAAAACUCCGGUGGUACAGGAUGGGCCCGCGUCUGAUUAGCCAGUUGGCAGGGUAACGGCCUACCAAAGCGACGAUCAGUAGCCGGCCUGAGAGGGCGGACGGCCACACUGGGACUGAGACACGGCCCAGACUCCUACGGAAGGCAGCAG
rnacentral:rRNA from 1 species